rnacentral:rRNA from 1 species
AUAUCAAUAAGCGGAGGAAAAGAAACUAACAAGGAUUCCCCUAGUAACGGCGAGUGAAGCGGGAAGAGCUCAAAUUUGAAAUCUGGCAGUCUUCGAUUGUCCGAGUUGUAAUCUAUAGAGGCGUUUUCCGUGCCGGACCGUGUCCAAGUCUCCUGGAAAGGAGUAUCAAAGAGGGUGAUAAUCCCGUACUUAACACGACCACCGGUGCUCUGUGAUACGUCUUCUACGAGUCGAGUUGUUUGGGAAUGCAGCUCAAAAUGGGUGGUGAAUUCCAUCUAAAGCUAAAUAUUGGCGAGAGACCGAUAGCGAACAAGUACCGUGAGGGAAAGAUGAAAAGCACUUUGGAAAGAGAGUUAAACAGUACGUGAAAUUGUUGAAAGGGAAACGAUUGAAGUCAGUCGUGUUCUUUGGAUUCAGCCAGUUCUGCUGGUCUACUUCCUUGGAACGGGUCAACAUCAGUUUUGUCCGGUGGAUAAAGGUAGUAGGAAUGUGACUUCUCCGGAAGUGUUAUAGCCUAUUAUCACAUACACUGGGUGAGACUGAGGACUGCAGCUCGCCUUUAUGGCCGGCCUUCGGGCACGUUCGAGCUUAGGAUGUUGACAUAA